UAAGAUUAUAGAUAUAAUGCUAUUAGAAAC
rnacentral:piRNA from 1 species